rnacentral:rRNA from 1 species
AGUGAACGCUGGCGGUAGGCCUAACACAUGCAAGUCGAACGGCAGCACAGUAAGAGCUUGCUCUUACGGGUGGCGGGUGGCGGACGGGUGAGGAAUACAUCGGAAUCUAAUUUUUCGGGGGGGAUAACGGAGGGAAACUUACGCUAAUACCGCAUACGACGAACGGGUGAAAGCAGGGGAUCUUCGGACCUUGCGCGAUUGAUUGAGCCGAUGUCGGAUUAGCUAGUUGGCGGGGUAAGGGCCCACCAAGGCGACGAUCCGUAGCUGGUCUGAGAGGAUGAUCAGCCACACUGGAACUGAGACACGGUCCAGACUCCUACGGGAGGCAGCAGUGGGGAAUAUUGGACAAUGGGCGCAAGCCUGAUCCAGCCAUACCGCGUGGGUGAAGAAGGCCUUCGGGUUGUAAAGCCCUUUUGUUGGGAAAGAAAAGCAGCAGGUUAAUACCCCGCUGUUCUGACGGUACCCAAAGAAUAAGCACCGGCUAACUUCGUG